UGGGGAAUAUUGCACAAUGGAGGGAACUCUGAUGCAGCGACGCCGCGUGAACGAAGAAGGCUUUCGAGUCGUAAAGUUCUUUUAUAUGAGAAGAUAAUGACGGUACCAUAAGAAAAAGCCCCGGCUAACUACGUGCCAGCAGCCGCGGUAAUACGUAGGGGGUUAGCGUUGUCCGGAAUCACUGGGCGUAAAGGGUUCGCAGGCGGAAAUGCAAGUCAGGUGUAAAAGGCAGUAGCUUAACUACUGUAAGCAUUUGAAACUGCAUAUCUUGAGAAGAGUAGAGGUAAGUGGAAUUUUUAGUGUAGCGGUGAAAUGCGUAGAUAUUAAAAAGAAUACCGGUGGCGAAGGCGGCUUACUGGGCUCAUUCUGACGCUGAGGAACGAAAGCGUGGGUAGCAAACAGG
rnacentral:rRNA from 1 species